AGCGAACGCUGGCGGCAGGCCUAACACAUGCAAGUCGAACGAAGUCUUCGGACUUAGUGGCGGACGGGUGAGUAACACGUGGGAACGUGCCUUUAGGUUCGGAAUAACUCAGGGAAACUUGUGCUAAUACCGAAUGUGCCCUUCGGGGGAAAGAUUUAUCGCCUUUAGAGCGGCCCGCGUCUGAUUAGCUAGUUGGUGAGGUAAAGGCUCACCAAGGCUACGAUCAGUAGCUGGUCUGAGAGGAUGGCCAGCCACAUUGGGACUGAGACACGGCCCAAACUCCUACGGGAGGCAGCAGUGGGGAAUCUUGCGCAAUGGGCGAAAGCCUGACGCAGCCAUGCCGCGUGAAUGAUGAAGGUCUUAGGAUUGUAAAAUUCUUUCACCGGGGACGAUAAUGACGGUACCCGGAGAAGAAGCCCCGGCUAACUUCGUGCCAGCCGCCGCCGUAAAAC
rnacentral:rRNA from 1 species